rnacentral:rRNA from 1 species
AUAGGACUAUUGCUGCGGUUAAAAAGCUCGUAGUUGGAUUUGUGUCAGGGCCCCGGUUUGUGCUUCGGUGCAUUACUGGGUGUACUCGGACUUAUGGUCGGUUCUCUCGCAUUGGGCUUAAUCGCUCGGUGUGGGUGACUGGCGCUUUUACUUUGAACAAAUCAGAGUGCUCAAGACAGGCGUAUGCCUGAAUGUUCGCGCAUGGAAUAAUGGAAGAGGAUUUCGGUUCGCUUUUCAUUGGUUUUACGACCGAGAUAAUGGUUAAUAGAGACAGACGGGGGCAUCUGUAUUUCUGCGUGAGAGGUGAAAUUUUUGGACCGCAGAAGGACAAACUACAG